GGCUGGUCCGAAGGUAGUGAGUUAUCUCACGUGAUUGUUCACAGUCAGUUACAGAUUGAACUCCUUGUUCUACUAGUUUCCCCCCUCCUCACUACUGCACUUGACUAGUCUUAA
ensembl:misc_RNA Y_RNA Y RNA